GACGAACCGUGCGAACGUUGUUCGGAAUCACUGGGCUUAAAGGGCGCGUAGGCGGGCUCGCAAGUCCGGGGUGAAAGCCCCCAGCUCAACUGGGGAAGCGCCUUGGAUACUGCGGGCCUCGAGGGGGGUAGGGGCGCGCGGAACUUCCGGUGGAGCGGUGAAAUGCGUAGAUAUCGGAAGGAACACCGGUGGCGAAAGCGGCGCGCUGGACCUCUUCUGACGCUGAGGCGCGAAAGCUAGGGGAGCAAACGGG
rnacentral:rRNA from 1 species